AGUGAACUCUCACGUGUCGGUUUAUUGUGGUGGAAAAGGAACUUCCUGUGUGUUACCAAUAAAUCCACCCGACAGGAAUCAACAUGAUUUUACUGUGCAUCACAAGCACAUGUGCAAAAGCGUGUUGCCAAGGGGAUUGGCGCUAGCACCAUGGAAACCACAAGAAAGAAGAAGAGGGUGUGUAGAUGGAUUCAUUGUUUGGUAAAUCCAUUUAUACAGACACUGCGUCCCAAAUGGCUCCAUAUCCCCUAUAUCCCUCAAACUCAACUCUGGACCUCGAAGACAAUUCCACUGCAUGUUUUCUUUGUUUCCCUCUAAUCUGAUUUAGACCUGGGAAACCAGAUGUGUGCAAUUAAUUAUCAGCGAGAACAGAAAGCCAGUAGGCUCCGGACCUCGUAGGAAGAGCUACCUGAACGUGAGAUGCCUGCCUGCCUGCCUUAGCCUCCAAAGGAACCAAGUUUAUGGUUUUCUGCCCCUCAGGUUGACAACAGCAUUUAUUUAUGCAAAGCACAACCCUGUUGUCUAUGGAAAUCAGUAACAGUCAGUAACUGCCUGUCUGUGUCCCUGCCGGCCGGCCUGUCUUUCUGCCUGCCUGCCUGCCUGCCUGCCUGCCUGCCUGCCUGCCUG